rnacentral:rRNA from 1 species
GCAAGUCGAACGCGAAAGUUCCUUCGGGAGCGAGUAGAGUGGCGGACGGGUGAGUAACGCGUGGGAAUCUGCCUAGUAGCGGGGGAUAACAAUCGGCAACGGUUGCUAAUACCUCAUACGCCCUACGGGGGAAAGGCUUCGGCCGCUAUUAGAUGAGCCCGCGUCAGAUUAGCUUGUUUGUAGGGUAAUGGCCUACCAAGGCAACGAUCUGUAGCUGGUCUGAGAGGACGAUC